CUGGAGUAUAAGUUCUAAGGCUCAAGCUUUGAGGUAUACACAAGCAGGCCACUGUGCAGAUUGGGAGAUGGAGAAUGAAUUUGAGUAGACUGAGAGAAGGGACUGAUUCCUCCUACUUGACCCAGAAAGAUUGUUUUUAGAAGAUUUGGGUGGGGAUAGUGGGGAGAGGUCAAUAAGGGAUGUUAUGGAAAGCUCUAUGAAAUUAUAACUUCUUACUUCUUUAAGCUCAGUUAGUGAGAAUUUGUUAAUAUCUUAGUUUUCUCUGGGAACUGGUUACCCGCUCCAACUCUUUACAUUUCUUUGGAAAAUAAGCAGAGGCCCAUCUAGAUUACAUUUCGCAGUGAAAAGAUCUGAUUCCAGCUUAGGGACCCUGUACUUGGCACUCAUAUGGAGCAGCUAAGGAGAGAAGUCUUCUGGAGGUUGGAGAAUAAGAGGUUAUGCCAACUACAGUUUGGGAGUGAUCUUUGGCUGUGAAGCUUGGCACUGAACUGAGGGAAGACUCCAAGAAGCCGCCCACAUCAACCACCCCUUCAUCUUUCCUGAGGUAGUCAGUUGGGGGUGAUGGAGAAGAUAGCUCUGGACAGAAGAAGCAAGAAACUUUCAGAGUCUACCUGGACAAUAUGGAAUAGCACCAUAUGGACAUCUCUGCCAGGGACUGACUUCUAGGACCUGCAAUCUGUAACCCUAGAGUGGUGGUCGCUUGGUUUUGGCUCCUCCUAAGUGUUUGUGUGUGUACGUAUGUAUGUAUACACAAAUAUCCAAUUUCCCUAUGCCAAUGGGAUGAUUCAAUGCAGUGAACAGAUCCUUCUGAUCAUCUAUUCUUUCCCCCUUCUCCUCCUCUACUUUUCUCAGGCCCCUCCUUUUUCUCCUUCUCAUUUCCCCACCUUCCAAGCUACAUCCAUCUCCCUGGUCAAACUGUCCUUAUUACAAGUGUCACUUGGGUCUCCCACCUCAAUUAUGUUGGUAAUGCCUUGCUUGUUCUGACAGCAAUGAGAUUACUUGCCAUUUGUUGCAGCCCACACGACACAAUAAGCACCUGGAUUCUUAACCGAAGAGGGGAAACUGCUUACACUAAAUAUGAAAAAAGAGAGAGAGAUAGGAAAGACAAGAAAAAAACACAAAGCCAAAGACAGGUUUUGGAACAAGCCUUAAAGCCUCUUCAACUUGGGACUUUCAGCUUCAGCUUUUAUUUGCGAUUCAAUGAAGUAUCUCACUAACACAGGUGACGUCAAAGUUGCAUGUUCUGUUUUAACAAAGAUAAGUCAAAACUUUUGAUGCAGGACCCUCACUCCUAAAUUUUAUGAUUAUAGGAAUUCAUCAGUUCUGAUCUCCUCACCAUCUGAUCUUAUUUGUGGCCUUUCAAUGCCAUCAUCAGCCUCUUGCCUUUGCCUGUGCUCCUUAACAUUCCAGAGGUUAAUGGAAGGCCAUUUAAUUUUCCAGAUGUACCUUUGGUGUUUAGCCCUCCAAAUCCUUGGCAACCUACCUCUCUUGCCUUCCAAAAUGGGGCAAGAUUUUAGAAUUGAUAUGAAAAGCUCUUUUUCUUCCCCAUUUCCUUACACUUUCCCCUGAAACUCCAGUCUCAUUCAGUAUUAUUAGGGAUCUGGUUUCAGAGACAUUCCAAUCCUGGAGGCUCCUCCUAGACUAGAAUCAGCCACCUUUUAUUGCCAGGACCCAGGUCUUCUUGGCCUGAACUAUACCAAAGAGAAGCUCACUAGCCAUUUCCCCUGGUACCUUAAGGCUGGCUCUUAACUCAGACUUUCCAGGGCUGUUUGCUGAACAUGACCUACUAAGUCUCCAGCUUUACUGACUUAGGAAGGCAGCUAAGCAGCAGCCCCUGCUGGGACAAACUCGUAUGUUUGGGGAGACCUUCUUAUUUGGGGUUGGUCAUUCCGGUUGUCACACUGUGUGGGGUUUUUAAUAAUCUGCUUUUCUAAAUAAAGUUGUGUUCAUAUUUCA